AACGCGAAGAACCUUACCUGGUCUUGACAUCCACAGAACUUUCCAGAGAUGGAUUGGUGCCUUCGGGAACUGUGAGACAGGUGCUGCAUGGCUGUCGUCAGCUCGUGUUGUGAAAUGUUGGGUUAAGUCCCGCAACGAGCGCAACCCUUAUCCUUUGUUGCCAGCGGUCCGGCCGGGAACUCAAAGGAGACUGCCAGUGAUAAACUGGAGGAAGGUGGGGAUGACGUCAAGUCAUCAUGGCCCUUACGACCAGGGCUACACACGUGCUACAAUGGCGCAUACAAAGAGAAGCGACCUCGCGAGAGCAAGCGGACCUCAUAAAGUGCGUCGUAGUCCGGAUUGGAGUCUGCAACUCGACUCCAUGAAGUCGGAAUCGCUAGUAAUCGUGGAUCAGAAUGCCACGGUGAAUACGUUCCCGGGCCUUGUACACACCGCCCGUCACACCAUGGGAGUGGGUUGCAAAAGAAGUAGGUAGCUUAACCUUCGGGAGGGCGCUUACCACUUUGUGAUUCAUGACUGGGGUGAAGUCGUAACAAGGUAACCGUAGGGGAACCUGCGGUUGGAUCAC
rnacentral:rRNA from 2 species